rnacentral:lncRNA from 1 species
UUGGGUAUCAUUGCUAGAUGGUCACUUCGAUUAGUACAGAAAUUGGUUCCUGUGCUACCGGCUUAGGUUCGAACCUGCGGGGUCACACACAUUAGAGGUUUCUAUCUGAUCUGAUGGCUGAUGAAGAGUCUUAAUAUUCGUGGACUAUGAGUCCUACGUGUCUGAGACUCUGUGAUCGAGAAUCAGGAUUCUCUGAUCAUGAGUCCCACACAU